AUGCAUCUUUAUUCAUCACUCAAUGCGAUUCAAAAUUUCCAACAAAAUUCUUCAUUCAUCGUUACAAAAUAUACCAAGAAAUCAUUCAAGUUUCUAUUCAUACAAGUUUCAUUCAAGAUUCAUUGGUUGAGAGACUUAGAAUGUCAAACUUACAAUGGAAAAGUGUGUUAUAAAUUUAUGUUUAUCGUUGGAAUUCGAAUAAUUACAAAUAUUGAUCCUUAA